rnacentral:rRNA from 1 species
UAGGGAAUCUUCGGCAAUGGGGGCAACCCUGACCGAGCAACGCCGCGUGAGUGAAGAAGGUUUUCGGAUCGUAAAGCUCUGUUGUAAGAGAAGAACGUGUGUGAGAGUGGAAAGUUCACACAGUGACGGUAACUUACCAGAAAGGGACGGCUAACUACGUGCCAGCAGCCGCGGUAAUACGUAGGUCCCGAGCGUUGUCCGGAUUUAUUGGGCGUAAAGCGAGGGCAGGCGGUUUAAUAAGUCUGAAGUUAAAGGCAGUGGCUUAACCAUUGUUCGCUUUGGAAACUGUUAAACUUGAGUGCAGAAGGGGAGAGUGGAAUUCCAUGUGUAGCGGUGAAAUGCGUAGAUAUAUGGAGGAACACCGGUGGCGAAAGCGGCUCUCUGGUCUGUAACUGACGCUGAGGCUCGAAAGCGUGGGGAGCAAACAGG